GACGAACCGUGCGAACGUUAUUCGGAAUCACUGGGCUUAAAAGCGCGUGUAGGCGGGACGGCACGUCGGUCGCUGAAAUCCCCCGGCUCAACCGGGGAACGGGCGCCGAUACGACCGUCCUGGAGGGACGUAGGGGGACCUGGAACUUCCGGUGGAGCGGUGAAAUGCGUUGAGAUCGGAAGGAACGCCCGUGGCGAAAGCGAGGUCCUGGACGUUUUCUGACGCUGAGACGCGAAAGCCAGGGGAGCGAAGGG
rnacentral:rRNA from 1 species